UUGAACUCCUGACCUCAGGUGAUCCACCCGCCUUGGCCUCCCAAAAGUGCUGGGAUUAUAGGCGAAAGUGACCAUGCCCAGCGGAGAUAAAUCUUAGUUUUCAAAAUUUCUUUUUUAAUACCUAAUCACAGAGAGGAGGCUGCAGUGCUAAGUGGAGGAAGCAGGAACUGGACCGUGAGUAGUAGCUGGGUGGGCACCAUGGCUGGGGUAACCACCAUCGACACAGUGAAGUGUGAGAUCCAGGUUCUGCAGCAGCAGGCAGAUGAUGCAGAGGAGCGAGCUAAGCACCUCCAGCAAGGAGUUGAGGGAGAAAGGCGGGCCUGGGAACAGGCCGAGGCUGAGGUGGCCUCCUUGAACCAUAGGACCCAGCUGGUUGAAGAGGAGCUGGACUGUGCUCAGGAGCGCCUGGCCGCUGCCCUGCAAAAGCUGGGAGAAGUGGAAAAAGCUGCUGAUGAGAGUGAGAGAGGUAUAAAGGUUAUUGAAAACUGGGCCUUAAAAGAUGAAGAAAAGAUGGAACUCCAGGAAAUCCAACUCAAAGAAGCUAAGCACAUUGCAGAAGAGGCAGAAAGUAUGAAGAGGUGACUCGUAAGUCGGUGAUCAUUGAAGGAGACAUGGAAGGCACAGAAGAACAAGCUGAGCUGGCAGAGUCGCGUUGCCGGGAGAUGGAUGAGCAGAUCAGACUGAUGGACCAGAACCUGAAGUGUCUUGAGUGCGGCUGAAGAAAAGUACUCUCAAAAAGAAGACAAAUGUGAGGAAGAGGUGAUGAUUCUUACUGAUAAUCUCAAGGAGGCAGAGACCCAUGCUGAGUUUGCUGAGAGAUUGGUAGUCAAACUGGAAAAGACAAUUGAUGACUUGGAAGAUAAAGUGAAAUGCAGCAAAGAGGAACACCUCUGUACACCAAGGAUGCGGGACCAGACUCUGCUUGACCUGAGUGAGAUGUAGAAUGCCCCAGUCCCCCCCUGCUGCUGCUCCUUCCUCUGACCCUGACUCCGCCUGCGGCCAGCCUGCCCGAAGCUGAUUCUUUUUUAUUAUUAUUUUUUUUUGAGAUGGAGUCUUGC